rnacentral:rRNA from 2 species
AAAGCUUGCUUUUCUUGAGGUUAGCGGCGGACGGGUGAGUAACACGUGGGCAACCUACCUGUAAGACUGGGAUAACUUACGGAAACGUGAGCUAAUACCGGAUAGUUUCACUUCUCGCAUGAGAAGUGAAGGAAAGAUGGCUUUUAGCUAUCACUUACAGAUGGGCCCGCGGCGCAUUAGCUAGUUGGUGGGGUAAAGGCCUACCAAGGCNACGAUGCGUAGCCGACCUGAGAGGGUGAUCGGCCACACUGGGACUGAGACACGGCCCAGACUCCUACGGGAGGCAGCAGUAGGGAAUCUUCCGCAAUGGACGAAAGUCUGACGGAGCAACGCCGCGUGAGCGAAGAAGGUCUUCGGAUCGUAAAGCUCUGUUGUUAGGGAAGAACAAGUACCGGAGUAACUGACGGUACCUUGACGGUACCUAACCAGAAAGCCACGGCUAACUACGUGCCAGCAGCCGCGGUAAUACGUAGGUGGCAAGCGUUGUCCGGAAUCAUUGGGCGUAAAGCGCGCGCAGGCGGUCCUUUAAGUCUGAUGUGAAAUCUUGCGGCUCAACCGUAAGCGGUCAUUGGAAACUGGGGGACUUGAGUGCAGGAGAGGAAAGCGGAAUUCCAUGUGUAGCGGUGAAAUGCGUAGAGAUAUGGAGGAACACCAGUGGCGAAGGCGGCUUUCUGGCCUGUAACUGACGCUGA